GCCAGGUGUGGUGGCUUCCACCUGUAAUCCCAGUUCCUCAGGAGGCUGAGGCAGGAGGAUUGAAGUUCAAAGCCAGCCUCAGCAACAGUGAGGUACUAAGCAACUCAGUGAGACCCUGUCUCUA
rnacentral:sRNA from 1 species